rnacentral:rRNA from 1 species
UGGGGGAUAUUGCACAAUGGAGGAAACUCUGAUGCAGCAACGCCGCGUGAGGGAAGAAGGUCUUCGGAUUGUAAACCUUUGUCCUUGGUGAAGAAAAAAAUGACGGUAGCCAAGGAGGAAGCUCCGGCUAACUACGUGCCAGCAGCCGCGGUAAUACGGAGGGGGCGAGCGUUGUCCGGAUUUACUGGGUGUAAGGGCGCGUAGGCGGCUCUGCAAGUCAGGCGUGAAAACCAUGGGCUUAACUCAUGGACUGCGUUUGAAACUGUGGGGCGUGAGUGAAGUAGAGGUAGGCGGAAUUCCCGGUGUAGCGGUGAAAUGCGUAGAGAUCGGGAGGAACACCAGUGGCGAAGGCGGCCUACUGGGCUUUAACUGACGCUGAGGCACGAAAGCAUGGGUAGCAAACAGGA